rnacentral:rRNA from 1 species
CGGUUAAGUUAGAAAGGGCGCACGGUGGAUGCCUUGGCACUAGGAGCCGAUGAAGGACGGGACGAACACCGAUAUGCUUCGGGGAGCUGUAAGCAAGCUUUGAUCCGGAGAUUUCCGAAUGGGGAAACCCACCACUCGUAAUGGAGUGGUAUCCAUAUCUGAAUACAUAGGAUAUGAGAAGGCAGACCCGGGGAACUGAAACAUCUAAGUACCCGGAGGAAGAGAAAGCAAAUGCGAUUCCCUGAGUAGCGGCGAGCGAAACGGGACCAGCCCAAACCAAGAGGCUUGCCUCUUGGGGUUGUAGGACACUCUGUACGGAGUUACAAAGGAACGAGGUAGAUGAAGAGGUCUGGAAAGGCCCGCCAUAGGAGGUAACAGCCCUGUAGUCAAAACUUCGUUCUCUCCUGAGUGGAUCCUGAGUACGGCGGAACACGUGAAAUUCCGUCGGAAUCCGGGAGGACCAUCUCCCAAGGCUAAAUACUCCCUAGUGACCGAUAGUGAACCAGUACCGUGAGGGAAAGGUGAAAAGCACCCCGGAAGGGGAGUGAAAGAGAUCCUGAAACCGUGUGCCUACAAGUAGUCAGAGCCCGUUAACGGGUGAUGGCGUGCCUUUUGUAGAAUGAACCGGCGAGUUACGAUCCCGUGCAAGGUUAAGCAGAAGAUGCGGAGCCGCAGCGAAAGCGAGUCUGAAUAGGGCGAAUUGAGUACGUGGUCGUAGACCCGAAACCAGGUGAUCUACCCAUGUCCAGGGUGAAGUUCAGGUAACACUGAAUGGAGGCCCGAACCCACGCACGUUGAAAAGUGCGGGGAUGAGGUGUGGGUAGGGGUGAAAUGCCAAUCGAACCUGGAGAUAGCUGGUUCUCUCCGAAAUAGCUUUAGGGCUAGCCUCAAGGUAAGAGUCUCGGAGGUAGAGCACUGAUUGGACUAGGGGCCCCUACCGGGUUACCGAAUUCAGUCAAACUCCGAAUGCCGAUGACUUAUCCUUGGGAGUCAGACUGCGAGUGAUAAGAUCCGUAGUCGAAAGGGAAACAGCCCAGACCGCCAGCUAAGGUCCCAAAGUAUACGUUAAGUGGAAAAGGAUGUGGAGUUGCUUAGACAACCAGGAUGUUGGCUUAGAAGCAGCCACCAUUUAAAGAGUGCGUAAUAGCUCACUGGUCGAGUGACUCUGCGCCGAAAAUGUACCGGGGCUAAACGUAUCACCGAAGCUGCGGACUGUUCUUCGAACAGUGGUAGGAGAGCGUUCUAAGGGCUGUGAAGCAAGACCGGAAGGACUUGUGGAGCGCUUAGAAGUGAGAAUGCCGGUAUGAGUAGCGAAAGAGGGGUGAGAAUCCCCUCCACCGAAUGCCUAAGGUUUCCUGAGGAAGGCUCGUCCGCUCAGGGUUAGUCGGGACCUAAGCCGAGGCCGAAAGGCGUAGGCGAUGGAUAACAGGUUGAUAUUCCUGUACCACCUCCUCACCAUUUGAGCAAUGGGGGGACGCAGGAGGAUAGGGUAAGCGCGGUAUUGGAUAUCCGCGUCCAAGCAGUUAGGCUGGGAAAUAGGCAAAUCCGUUUCCCGUGAAGGCUGAGCUGUGAUGGCGAGCGAAUUAUAGUAGCGAAGUUCCUGAUUCCACACUGCCAAGAAAAGCCUCUAGCGAGGUGAGAGGUGCCCGUACCGCAAACCGACACAGGUAGGCGAGGAGAGAAUCCUAAGGUGAUCGAGAGAACUCUCGUUAAGGAACUCGGCAAAAUGACCCCGUAACUUCGGGAGAAGGGGUGCUCUGUUAGGGUGCAAGCCCGAGAGAGCCGCAGUGAAUAGGCCCAGGCGACUGUUUAGCAAAAACACAGGUCUCUGCGAAGCCGUAAGGCGAAGUAUAGGGGCUGACGCCUGCCCGGUGCUGGAAGGUUAAGAGGAGCGCUUAGCGUAAGCGAAGGUGCGAAUUGAAGCCCCAGUAAACGGCGGCCGUAACUAUAACGGUCCUAAGGUAGCGAAAUUCCUUGUCGGGUAAGUUCCGACCCGCACGAAAGGCGCAACGAUCUGGGCACUGUCUCAACGAGAGACUCGGUGAAAUUAUAGUACCUGUGAAGAUGCAGGUUACCCGCGACAGGACGGAAAGACCCCGUGGAGCUUUACUGCAGCCUGAUAUUGAAUGUUGGUACAGCUUGUACAGGAUAGGUAGGAGCCUUGGAAACCGGAGCGCCAGCUUCGGUGGAGGCAUCGGUGGGAUACUACCCUGGCUGUAUUGACCUUCUAACCCGCCGCCCUUAUCGGGCGGGGAGACAGUGUCAGGUGGGCAGUUUGACUGGGGCGGUCGCCUCCUAAAAGGUAACGGAGGCGCCCAAAGGUUCCCUCAGAAUGGUUGGAAAUCAUUCGCAGAGUGUAAAGGCACAAGGGAGCUUGACUGCGAGACCUACAAGUCGAGCAGGGACGAAAGUCGGGCUUAGUGAUCCGGUGGUUCCGCAUGGAAGGGCCAUCGCUCAACGGAUAAAAGCUACCCCGGGGAUAACAGGCUUAUCUCCCCAAGAGUCCACAUCGACGGGGAGGUUUGGCACCUCGAUGUCGGCUCAUCGCAUCCUGGGGCUGUAGUCGGUCCCAAGGGUUGGGCUGUUCGCCCAUUAAAGCGGUACGCGAGCUGGGUUCAGAACGUCGUGAGACAGUUCGGUCCCUAUCCGUCGCGGGCGCAGGAAAUUUGAGAGGAGCUGUCCUUAGUACGAGAGGACCGGGAUGGACGCACCGCUGGUGUACCAGUUGUUCUGCCAAGGGCAUCGCUGGGUAGCUAUGUGCGGACGGGAUAAGUGCUGAAAGCAUCUAAGCAUGAAGCCCCCCUCAAGAUGAGAUUUCCCAUUCCGCAAGGAAGUAAGAUCCCUGAAAGAUGAUCAGGUUGAUAGGUCUGAGGUGGAAGUGUGGCGACACAUGGAGCUGACAGAUACUAAUCGAUCGAGGACUUAACCAAUUU